AACGAACGCUGGCGGCAGGCUUAACACAUGCAAGUCGAACGCAUCCUUCGGGGUGAGUGGCAGACGGGUGAGUAACGCGUGGGAACGUGCCCUUCAGUUCGGGAUAACCCAGGGAAACUUGGGCUAAUACCGGAUACGUGCGAGAGCAGAAAGAUUUAUCGCUGAAGGAUCGGCCCGCGUCUGAUUAGCUAGUUGGUGGGGUAAUGGCCCACCAAGACGACGAUCAGUAGCUGGUCUGAGAGGAUGAUCAGCCACAUUGGGACUGAGACACGGCCCAAACUCCUACGGGAGGCAGCAGUGGGGGAUAUUGCACAAUGGGCGCAAGCCUGAUCCAGCCAUGCCGCGUGAGUGAUGAAGGCCUUAGGGUUGUAAAGCUCUUUCGUCCGGGACGAUAAUGACGGUACCGGAAGAAGAAGCCCCGGCUAACUUCGUGCUAGCCGCCGCUGUAA
rnacentral:rRNA from 1 species